ACAAGGGUAGUGUGCUAUAAGGGUGU
rnacentral:piRNA from 1 species